CUCCGCGCCCAGCCCGCGGAGGGCUUUCCCUGGACUCCUGCGCUGAACCGCAGUGCGCCCGCUUCCCCCUUCUCUUGCUCUUUAUCACUCCUUUAAGAGCCCGGGUCCUGGUCACCAAGGGCACCAGUCAACUAAUGGCAGCCCCUGGACAGAGAGAGUCAAGGGCAGGGAGCGUUCGUGAUGCCCCUCGCAUCUCACCACGUGGGCCGAGGAGAGGGAGGGAAGAGGAAGAGGAAGAGCAGAGGAGGGGCCCGCCUGCGCGGCUGUGAGGACGGGAAGAGGCGCGGGAGCCCGAGCUCAGCUCCCUGUGACCCCAGCCCCCACCCCCAAAUGUCGCAAGCGGUGCCUUCCUCCCCCAGGGCAGCCUGGCUUGCUGGGCUGGUCUCCCAGGUCUGAAAGGACACGUUGGGGCACUCUCUAGCGAGCACGCAGUGUGUUGAGUGCUGGACCUAAUACCCUAACACCGCUCUGUGCCAUUUCACCUGAUCAGCACGAGUUCUGCGUUGGUUUGUCCAGGCGUUUUGCUAUUUACAACGACAGUCUCUUUCCCUGGAGCACUCUGACCUGGUCUUUUGUACCGGUGUUCAAGGGGAGGGUCCUGACUGGAGACUCAUAGGUUCCCAACUCUGAACACAGAAGAUACAAGCUCACAAAACACUGCAACGAAUAUGCGGCGGCCGUACCCCCACUGGCAGCAGCGGGAAGCUGAGGUGCCCUGCGGCCCCUCUGCAGCAUGAGUGAGCACCCCAGCGCCGCUGCACCGCGCUGUGCCCUGCACUGUGAGAGGAGCCAGGCCCUUCCUGGAAAAAAAGCUUCUGGAGCCAGAGGUUUGUAUUUGAGAAACUUCAAGGAUUUCUGAAAGGAAAAGCAUUUUAGACUUUCAAUUACAAACUACCUCAAAGUUUGUGAUUUGCACCCCAACAGUCAUUCAACCUGUCUGAACCUCAGUGUCCUUUACUCUAAAGGUAAAGACCUCUACUAUCUCUUCAAGCUAGAAAAUUCUGUGAUUUGAAUGCUUUUAAGGGAAGAAAGAAAGAAAGAAAGAAAGAAAGAAAGAAAGAAAGAAAGAAAAAAAAACCCUAAUGCAUAGUCAAAGUCCAAGAAACUUGAGACUUGAAUGGUCAACUUUUGAAAAAGUUUUGCAAAUGUUUUUAUUAUUUAUUGGGCAUUUACUAUGUGCCUGGGGUUGUAAAGAUACAACCUUGAAAAUAUAAGUAAAAGUCCCUUCCUUAUGGAGCUUUCACUCUGGUGGAGAUAGAUAGAUAGAUAGAUAGAUAGAUAGAUAGAUAGACAGACAGACAGACAGAUAGACAGACAGACAGAUAGAUAGUUAAAUAGAGUAUCCAGGUGGUGUCAACUGAUAUGGAGAGAAAUAAAGCAGAGAAGGAGUGUGGAACAUGUCAGGACUGGGUGAGGAGGGGAUGGGGACCAGGGAUACCAUUUUAUACAAAGACAUUAGGGAAGGUCUCCAGACAGAGGGAAGUGAGUAUAACGUUCCUCAGGUGGAGUCAUGCUUAGAGUGUUCUAGGAAGGACAAGGAAGGAAGCAGUGUGACUGGAGAUGAGUGCGAGAAAGGGGAAAGGGAGGGGAAGAUAGAUUUAGAGAGGAGGGGGCUCCGGCUCAUCCAGGGCCGUUGGGUGUUAGUGUGAGUGAGACGGGAUGUGACUGCAGGGCUGGGAGCUGAGGACUGACCUGGAAAAGCAGAGUAUGAGUUUGAGGCGUUUUCGAUAAGGAUUACGUGACUCUGGGGGCAGGGGCGACACUUGUUAGGUUGGAACGGCCUGUGGAACGUCAGCUGGAGGUGUUCCGCAGGGAUGAACUGCAGUUCCCAGGGAGGGCCUGGCUGGAGCUAUGCACUGGGACAUCCUGGGAUUGUAGGUGGGAUCUGGAGCCACAGCAGUGGGUAAAAUGGCUUAGGCUGCAUGUGUAGAGUCUGAAGAGAAGAGGGCCCAGGGCUGAGGCCUCGAGGGAGGAAUGGUAGCAUUUAGGGGUGGGCAGAGAAGGAGCCAGAAGGGAGACGAGGAAGGAGCACAGCAAGAAGCAAGAGAGAGGCGGCACAGGAAGCUAGAGAAGGUGGGACAGGAGGAGAGGUAGACUGGGCGGAAGCUGCGCAAGAUGAGGACAGAGAAGUGGCCCUGGAUUUGGCGUGUAGGGCUGGGCAGGAGCCUCAACUGAGCUGAUGUUUGAAGGAAGUUUCCAGCUGGCUUGGGCUGGGCUCUAUAGCUAGUUGUACAGCAGAUUAGGUGUUCCGAUGACCCUCCUAACUAAGCUCAAAUGCUGGGUUAAAUGUUUGUAUUUUAAAAGCUUUAUCAAUGGUUCCCUGAGAUAGAAUGAAAGCAAUAAAUCCACAGACUCCAAUAAUGAAGUUGAACUAGGAACCCUGGCGGAUGAGUGAACAAAGAUCGCUUUUACCUAAGGGUAUGCUGCCUCCUGGAGCCCCAGGCCUUCCACUGGCUGCUGUGCAAGUCUAGGGGAUGGAUGAGAUCAUGAUCAUGAAAUAAUACCACGGAGCAAAGCCUAGCGGUAUUCUCCUGCAUACAUCUGGAGCUCAGAAGGCUAUAUCCUCAGAAUAAAAGUGAAUAGGAAUAAAUCUGCCAUGAAGAAGGCAAUUAGCUUGGCUUGACCUUGGCUCUGGGUGGAGGGAAAACAAUCCUCCCAGGAUUUGCAACCAUAAGCAAGCCUCAAAUGUUUCCUUUUUUCAGUUUUAGUGGUUUUUUUUGGGGGGGGGCAGUAGGUUUACUUAUUUAAUUAUUUAUUUUAAUGGGGAUUCUGGGGCUUGAACCCAGGACCUCCUGCAUGUGAAGCAUGCGCUCUACCACUUGAGCUAUGUCCUCCCCCCAGCCUCAGAUUUUCUGUCCGAAUUCAUCUGUCUGUUGGCUUGAAAAAUCUCAAGCAUUUAAAUUUAAUUUAAAUGGUUUUGGUUUGGCAAUACUCUCAGAUAACCAGCAGAAUGUAAAGAACAUCCUUUCUAGGUACCUCAAACAACUUCAAUCCAGACCUCGAAAAAUUCUCACGGACAAAGUUUCAAGCAAAAAUGAAUAGUUCACCUUAAAAAUUUACAAAACAUACAAGGAAACAAGCUCUAUGACUGACAAUCAGUAGAAAAUAAACAAAAAAAAAAAAAUAGACAGCAAAAACAACCAAAGAUUUUGGAUAUUUGCAUUUCAGAUGGAGAGUAUAAAAUAAUUAUGUUUAGUUAGCUUCAACAAGAAGAGAGGCUUAACAACAUGAGCAGGAAUAAGAGACUUUAAAGAAUAAAAACAGGCAGGUGUGAGAAAUAACCAAAUACUGAAAAUGAGGACCAUAACACUAAAAAUGUAUGACUCAGUGGAUGGAUUAAACACUAGAGAAGAUGCAGCUGAAGAGAGAAUUAUUCAACUAGCAGACAGAGCCAAAGAAAUGAUUGAGAAUGCCAUUCGGAGUGAUAAAGAUAUGCCAAUUAUAAAAGUUAAAAGGCCAGAGGGUAGCAUGAUACACUCUACCUUGAAAUUGCAUUUCCUUCUAGAAUGGAACAGGGAGAGAAUGGGAAAGAGGCAACAUUCAGUGUUAAAUGCUGAUAAUUUUUCCAAAAUACUGGAGAUAAUUCCUUGGAUUUAGGAAGCCUAACAAAUCCAAAGAAAAAGAGAGACGGGAGGGGAGAGGGGAGAGAGAGAGAAAAGAAGAGGAGGAAGGAGAAGGAGGAGGGGAAGGAGGACGGGGAGGGGGCAGAGAAGAAAUGAAAAGCAGCGGGGGAGAGAAGGCAGCCACUCCACAAAGAAACACAAAUUGUCUACAACAGCCUGACAAAGACUGACUUGUAAACAGCAACCAUGAAGCCAGACGAGAGUGGAAAAUAUCUUCAACCUGCUGAGAAAAACGGUGGGAACCUAAAACUGAACACCCAGAGGAACUCUCGAGAAUGAAGGUGAAUGAGGACAAUUUUGGACAAAUAAAGACAGAGAGCUGACCCUUGAGUCCUCUCAUUACAGGACAUGCUGGAGCAUGCAGUCCAGGCGGAAGCUAAAUGACCCCCGCCUGGAAGUUUGAGAUUCAGAAGAAAUGGCGAGUAAACAGAGUGGCAGGUAUAUAAGUAAAAUAAGAAAAGAAUAAUUAUUAUUUACAAAAUAGAAUAUUUAUAUAAUAUUAUAAAAUUAUAAUGUAACACUUAAAACAAAUAUCUAUAAUAUAUACUUAUAAAAUAUUAUUUAUAAAAUAUUAAUAAAAUACCCAUUUAUAUAUGUGUUUGUCUGUGGGGGGUGGGGGGAUGGCAGACAGGCUAGAACCAAAAUCCUGGGUUACAGCAGUAGGUACCAUGGGAGGGGGCCCAGCAGGAGCCAAGCCUAUCUUGCUAGAAAGGAGGGUAAAGGUGUUGUUGACUUUUAACUCUAGAAUUUAGUCUAUAUGUACAAAUAGCCUUGGCAACUAUUAAAAGGACAGAGAUGGGAUAUGAGCCUUCCAAACUAGUAAGGGGGAAAAAGGAUGAAAAAAAGAAAAAGAAAAAAAAAUUACUUUUUUAGAGGGUAAAAGGAAGGCAGAGGAAGAAAUGGGUCAAGUAGAAAGUGUAUAACAAGAGCUAAGCAAAUAAAUCCAAAUGCAUUAUUCAUCAGAACAGAUGUAAACGGACUAAGCAUUAGAAGUGAAGCCCUCAACUGUCAGAUGGGAUUUUUUAGAAAAUCGGUUGUUUACAAGAGACUCUUAUCAACCACAUGGAGACACAGAUAGACUGAAAGGUAAAGGAUGGAAAAAGAUAUGCUAGGCAAGAGGUAACCAGCACAAAGUGGUGUCCCUGUAUUAACACCAGACAAAAAUCAAUGUUUAGGCAAAAUGUGUACAAGAGUUUUUAAACAGGUCACCUUAUAAUGAUAGCAUCUUUAAAUAGAAAGACAUAAAAAUUCUAAACCUGUAUGUCCCUAACAAUAUCAUCUCAAAAUAUACCAAGUAAAAGUUUGACAGAAUGAUAAGGAGAAAUGGAAAAAUCCACAUUCAUAAUGGGAGAUUUUAAAACAACUCUCUCAGUAAAUGGUGGAAAAUGCAGUCAAAAGGAAAUCUGUGUUUCAUGGAAAAUUUGAGCAGUGUGAGAUCUAACUGACAUUUCUUGAACGUUGCAUCUAAACUUGCAUACCUUCUUUGUAUGCACAUAGAACAGUGCAGAAAUGCUAGGUUAAAAAGCUGGCCUCAAGGGGUAUCAAAGGACUGAGGACUUUCAGACCACUUUUUUUUUAACGAGGCAAUUUAGCUAGAAAUCAGUAACAAAAGCAUAACCAGGAAACCCAAUAAAUAUGAAAUAUAUGAAAUAUAUAUGAAAUAUACAAAAACAAGACUUUUUAAAAACUUCUAAGCACCUCAUGAGUCAAAGAGGAAGUCAUGGUAGAAAUUGGAAAAUAAACAGAAUUGAAAGAAGAUGAAAACUUGUGAAAUAUACCAAAACCAUUGUAAAAUUCCACUGACGUGGUAUGACCAGGACGUUUAAGUAGUUAGAAAAGAAGAAAAGCUGAGGAUUUCUGAGCUAAGCACUAAUUUAGGAAGUUAUAGAAAGAACAUCAGAAUAAAGCUAAGGAAAAUAGGGGGACAGAGAGAGAUGAGCAGAAAUUAAUGAAACAGAAAGCAAGUCUGCAAUGGAUAGGAUCAACAAAAACUAAUCUUCUUUGAUGAGUCUCUGAUUAUCAAGAAAGAUGUGCACGGACGCAUGCAUUUAAAAUAGAUAAUAAUAAAAUAUUAUGAACAAUUUGGUCAAUAAAUUUGAAAGCUUAGAUUACACAGAUACAUUUCUAGUAGAAUACAAAUUGACACCACCGGUUCAAGAAGAAAUUGAAAACCUGAAUAUCCUUUAUCCCUAAAAGAAAAUAAAUGAAUAGCUUAAGAUCUUCUGUGAAAGAAAACACAAGACCCACCUGGCUUCUUAGAUCAGUUUUACCAAACUUUCAAGAAUAAUUUAUGCUUGAAGUGGAAUAGAAUAGAAAAAAUAGAGGGCACUUCCUAACUCUGGUGGAAGGUGUGACUGUAAAACUUUAGAGAACAAAAUAGGAAAAGUUUCUUAAACCUGACACAAAAUGUGCUCCAUUAUAAUCGAGAAAGCCACUGAGAAUUCACUAACAGUAAAAGGAAGAAUUUAGAUCACUGUUAUCCCUUCAGAAAAUAUGAUGACAUUAUCUCAUACAUUUAAACAUACAUUUAUUCCUUGAAACUUCACUGUUAUGUGUAGGCCCUUAAAAGACCUGAGUGCAUCAGAAGACAUGCGUAAAAAAAAUGCAUAAAAACAGUUCAGAACACUGAAGCUAGAAACAACCCAAAUGCCCAACAACUGCAGUAACAUAAAUAUAUAAACUGGCAUAAUCUUACACUGGAAUAGUGUAAAGCAGCUAAAAGGAACACACCACAGCCGCCCAGGGGAGAGUCUCACAAGCACACUGUGGACAUAAGAAGCAAAUCACAGAAGGCUUCAUUCAGUCUGGCUCCGUUUACAUAAAACUUAAAACCAGACAAAAUGAAAAAGACAUCAGGAUGGAUGCAGGUCAUUAUUUUGUUGAUUCUAAAAUACACUUGUUCACCUUUUAAUCUCUCUAAAAUAAGGAUGCAUCUUAUAAGCAGUUGUGUGUUGUCAUCAGCCUUAACAGCGCUUUUUCUUUCUUAGACAUGAAAUACUGAUGCACCUCACGAUUGCUGGAGGCUGAGGUUCAGUGAGACACGGCAGGUGGUAGCACUACAGAAAAACAGCAGGAUGACUCAGAACAUUUGGCAUCAUGAUUAUCUAUGCCAGGGAGGGAGGGGGCGAGGGAAUGGAAGGGGCACCUAGGAGAAUUCUGUUUUUUCACCCAGAUAGUGAGUAUAUUGGUAUUUGUUUUAUUAUAAUUCUUGAAACAGUGUAGACUCUCACAUGUAUGAGACUUUUUACAAUAAAAGAAGUGUGAGGAGGUAAGGAUGUAUGUAGUAACUCGGGAAGCCAGAGAGAGAAAGGGGAGAGAGAGGCACGUGGUGGAGGGGGAAGCUGUGGAGGAUGCUAUAGGAAACACGUGGUAAGACGGCCGGAGCGCCUGGGAGGCACCAGUCCAUCGCACAUGGAAAAAUCAGGAGAGAUGCUUCCCCUAUUGCAGCAAGAGAGACAAAGGAAAAGAUGGGUUUGUGGAAUAGCUGGUGGAAUUUUGCGCAGGUUUUCCUUGUGAUGGUUUCCAAUUCCUUUACGAGAGAUUUAUCUGUGCAGUAGGGGUAGUUGGCGGAAAUGGCAGGGGUGGACCAGUGGACGUGAGGAGCAGACUUCUAAAACGCUGAACGUGUAUUCAACGGCUACUGAGUGCCAGGUGUAAAUGAAGAGCCUUUUACAUCCAGUAUUCUGUCCGUCUCCCCCAUCAAAGUGGUGAGGUAUAGAAUCGCUUAGAAGCCACUAGCUUCCCAGGCUCACCAUAACAAGGUGCCACAGACGGCAUGACCCAAACGACAGAAAAUGACUUUCUCACGGUUCUGGAGGCUGGAAGCCCAAGGCCGAGGUGCUGGCAAUGCUGGUUUCCCCUGAGUCCUUGUCUUGGUUUGCAGGCGGCCUUUGUUCCUCUGCACGCCUGCUCAUGGCGUCUCUUCCCCUUCUAAACAUCAGCCCUGCUGGAUUAGGACUCUAUCCUCCGGCCUCAUUUUAACUUAAUUGCCCCUUUAAAUGCCCCAGCUCCAAAUACAGUCACAUUCUGAGGUACUGGGGGCUCCAGGUUCAACACCUGAAUUUGGGGGCGGGGGUAGGGGGUGGAGUGGGACACAAUUCAGCCCAUAACAAUGCCCAUAAAGAAAUGGAGACUCAGGUUGAACAACCGGCCAAGGGCACGCAGUUACCUUGUCAGAGCUGGGAUGCAAAUACAAGCAGAUCAGUCUCAGCAUCUGAAUGCCCAUCAUUCCACUAAAACACAGUCCUGGGUCUAGAAGAGUGGAAAUGAAUGGAAAGGGCUUUUGGAGAAUUAAAAAAAAAAAAAAAGCUGACCCAAAUAAAGGAGUAAUAUUAUCAGACUUUUCAGAGCUGUGCAGUCAGUCCCGGAAACAGAAUAGAUGGACUAUCCUCUCAUAGACUCCCUUUUUAAAUCUGAGCUUUAAUCAGAAAGACUGUAAUUUUGGCCAAAAUGGCAGGAAAGGCCAACAAUUUAGCAUCAGUUGAAAUCCUGUCCCUGAUCCCCUUUUAGAAGCCAGAUGCAACUUAUGGGCUGGAGAGGGUGACACCUGCUGGGCUCUGGGGAUUAUGGGUGGGAACCUGGCUCUUUUCAUAUGCAGUCCCCUGCUGCCCUCUGCUGGCCAGCUUUAGGAAUGCCCAGGAAUCUGCCAAAAGCCCUACUUCCCUUCAAAAAACACAAAUCUAUAGGGAAACGAGGCAAGAAUCUCCUGGAAUCAGACUGUGGAGUUUAUCAGUCCCACUCCCUUCCAUACACAUACACACAUUUCAAACCAACGGUACAGGCAGUCAGCUUUCACUUUGUCGCAUUCUGUGCCUGUGCAGCUGUUUUAAAACUUGCUUCCAGUGGUUUCAUCAUUAAAAAAACACACCUGCCGCCUUCUCAAAAAUUGUAUUUCCCAAGAUCUAGGAACAUGAGAAAUUGAAUGCAGGUUUUGACGACCCAACAAAAUACUGGUUUGCUCAUCAUUUCAUGCUUUCAAAAAUUAUAAACUUACUGUAGGUUUGUUCAACUUUUUAAAACCAUGAUUUCCUAGGUGGUAGUCCAAAGACCCCACCACUUGCUGACAACAUUUUUGUAAAAAUAAUUGUUUUCAUUUUCAAAUGUGACUUAAAAAAAAUCAGCAGUUCAUGCCUUUAGAAAUUAUAUGUCUGGGGAAAAUGUUCUAAGUAAUUAGGGAGAAGCAUAUAUAAGUGCCAGAAGAAACCACUGACCUCUUGAGAACUCCCGCAGCUCCUGGUCAACGUGCUUCACAGGAUGUGCGGCCUUGAGGACCGCAGCGAAAUUCAGAACAGGUGGGCUCAAGGGCCGUCAGUGUCCCCAUCCUCGCAUGGGUCCCCAGACCCCCUUUACACAGUUGCUAGAACGGGCAUUUAAAAUGCACAUCAAAUCAUAGCACCCUUCUGCCUCUGAUGAGGUCAAACGUCACAUCUUUGAUUUCAGAGUAAAAUACAAAUUCCUCACCAGCUUUACAAGGCCAAGUGACCUGACUCACGCCGGCCCCUCCAAGUCUGCCCUCGGCCCCCUUUCCUUCCCUUUCAGCUGUUUGCCUUUUCAUCCUUCAGGGAUCUCUCUGUGGCUCUAUUCCAAUAUUCUGCUCGAGCACGUGCUACAGUUUGUAACAAUCAUGUGUAUUGGUCUGCUGUUCAUUUCCUGUCUCUACCAUGAGGCAUCAUCCACCUUGGGUAAGUCCUUGUCCAUCUUGCUCUUUGCUGCAUCCCCAGGGCCUGAAGAGCACACAUGUAUCAGUGAAUGAGUGAACGAAGGAAGUGAGCACAGGAAGGAACUGAGAGGAUGCUGGCCUCGGAUCCACAGAGAGUGAGGUCAAGCCCGAAUGCUGUAUCCACGAGCCUCCCAGGCAGGGAGGGCAGCCUCAAGGCAGGCUGAUCCGGGGGUCCUUCAGGAAGGAGGCCAGCUUCUGGGCCACGGCGUCCAGCUUGGCCGGGCUGGCGUACUGCAGGAGGUUGCCCUUGCGCACGAAGUAGUGCUUCAGGAAGUGCUGGCUCACGCACUUGUGCAGCUUCCUCACCAGGCGCAGGAACGCUUUGCUGAAGACCCGCCAGUCCUUCGGGUCGGGAUACUUCUCGCAAGUCCAGAAGAGCACUGUCUGUGGAAGGAAGAGGUGGUGUCAGACAUCGAUCCUUUGGGGCGACUGAGGAGAGUGUCUUCAGGAACGUGACUCAACUCACGUGGCCUCAGAAGCAGGAGGCAGGACCGCCCAUGGCAAGCUGGUUCUGCCAUGGAUUCACGAUGCCCAACCUCAGGUGGGCCCUCAGCCUCAUCCUGCGGGUCUCCUACGCCUCUUUGGUACUUUAUUCUCUCUUCACGGGCAUCUCCAAUGAUCACCACUCUCCUUAAAUAUUCAAUUUCCCAUCCCCUGCAGAUGCUUUGCCGGAAACCCGCGUGCCCAUGAACCAGCAUCCUGCCUUCAUCAGCAUCUUCCUCUCUGCACCCUCUUAGCAGGGGCAAAUCCCUCUGCAGGGCUGGGCUCUCCUCUUCCAGGAUUUAUUUAUUCCAGUAAAUGAUUGAUUUCCCUCUU